rnacentral:rRNA from 1 species
UACGUAGGUGGCAAGCGUUAUCCGGAAUUACUGGGUUUAAAGGGUGCGUAGGCGGCUAUGUAAGUCAGGAGUGAAAGUUUGCGGCUCAACCGUAAAAUUGCUUUUGAUACUGCAUAGCUAGAAUUAGGAUGAGGUCAGCGGAAUGUGGCAUGUAGCGGUGAAAUGCAUAGAUAUGCCAUAGAACACCAAUUGCGAAGGCAGCUGGCUAGACCUGGAUUGACGCUGAGGCACGAAAGCGUGGGGAGCGAACAGG